rnacentral:rRNA from 1 species
GACGAACGCUGGCGGCGUGCUUAACGCAUGCAAGUCGAACGGAAAGGCUCCAGCUUGCUGGAGUACUCGAGUGGCGAACGGGUGAGUAACACGUGGGUAAUCUGCCCUGCACUCUGGGAUAAGCCUGGGAAACUGGGUCUAAUACUGGAUAUGACCUUUCUCCUUAUGGGGUUUGGUGGAAAGUUUUUCGGUGUAGGAUGAGCCCGCGGCCUAUCAGCUUGUUGGUGGGGUGAUGGCCUACCAAGGCGACGACGGGUAGCCGGCCUGAGAGGGUGAUCGGCCACAUUGGGACUGAGAUACGGCCCAGACUCCUACGGGAGGCAGCAGUGGGGAAUAUUGCACAAUGGGCGGAAGCCUGAUGCAGCGACGCCGCGUGAGGGAUGACGGCCUUCGGGUUGUAAACCUCUUUCAGCAGGGACGAAGCGUAGGUGACGGUACCUGCAGAAGAAGCACCGGCUAACUACGUG